GGAGAAAAUACGGUAGAACAUAGAAUCAAUAUCCAGGAGACAGUAUCCUCCAAAGAAACCAAACAAAAUGAGGUUUCAAGAAAGAGAGAAUGGUGGACCUUGUGAACUAUUGUUAAGGGGGUGAGGAAACUGAAGCCUCGCUCCUAAGGGAAAAUGUAAGCAUUGCAUUUAAAAGCAGGUUUAUUGACAAUAACUAUGGAAUGUGACGUUUGGGGCAACAAGGACAGAGCUAGACAUGACUGAAUGAGUGAUAAGAAAAACUAGAAAGAGCAGGUAUCAAACAACUUUAACAGGUUUGUUUGAAGGUGAACAUAAAAACAGAGCCACAUUAAGAAAGCAACGUGGUCUCCAAAAGACUUUAUUGCUGAUUUAUUCUGCUUUGUUUUUGCUUUUUUAUUUAUCUUUUAUAAUUUAUCGAGGUAUGACUAUGGUCAGCAUGCUGUACAUUACAUCCUAGCAUCUCAAAAUAAAAUCUGGAAGAUGCAAUGCCUGGCUUGACAGCAGUCGAGAUUCCUGUACUGUGAAGCAAUAACUCCAAGUGGAUAAACAAGUAGAGAGGAGAGCCUGGGAUUCUGAUGUGUCUGCAGAGCCAUCCUCUUUGUCUAAUUAUGAUGAGCCCAGACUGACUCGCUGCUACUGGCCGUUUAUUAGGUAUUGGCUAUGCAUUUAAGAACAAAUGUUUGCUGCUUAAUAAAGAAUCACUCAGUUUGGACUAUUUAAUCCAACUUCUACGAUGCCUGUUAGCAAUCUAUAAGUGCGCGAGGUCACCUAACCAAGGAAUAACACCUUUUAUCAAUACCUGUUGUGUCAUGUGGCGUUAUGUUGCAAUGGAUUGUGGACUUUGCCAUCUGUUUUUAAGUAAAUAUGGACUUACAUAUAUGUUUUAAAUAAACAAAUGCAAAUUUUUGUAUGCAC
rnacentral:lncRNA from 1 species